GACAGAGGGUGCGAACGUUGUUCGGAAUUACUGGGCGUAAAGCGCGUGUAGGCGGCAGCGUGUGUCGGGCGUGAAAUCCCACGGCUCAACCGUGGAAGUGCACUCGAAACUGCGCAGCUAGAGUCCUGGAGAGGAAGGUGGAAUGCUUGGUGUAGAGGUGAAAUUCGUAGAUAUCAAGCGGAACACCGGUGGCGAAGGCGGCCUUCUGGACAGUGACUGACGCUGAGACGGCGAAAGCGUGGGGAGCAAACAGGG
rnacentral:rRNA from 1 species